GCCUGAGUCAGUCGAGAGUGCCAUUCCGAGACAGGGUGGGACCUUUCCGUUCAGGCAUGGCUUCGGGCAGCCUCAUCCUUUUCUGGGGCUUCCGUGCGACAGGAGGGCUCCGUUAGUGCGCCUCCAAGAUGGCGACGCUGUUGGCGGUAAAUUCGGCUGCCAGCCUCUGGGGUCCUUACAAAGACAUUUGGCAAACAGUGGGAAAUGCCCUUUGGAGAAGACAACCUGAAGCUGUCCACCUUCUUGACAUGAUUUUGAAGAAACACAAACCUGACUUCAUCUCAUUGUUCAGAAACCCACCAAAAAAUGUCCAACAACACGAGAAGGUUCAGAAAGCCAGUACAGAGGGAGUCGCUAUCCAGGGUCAACAGGGAACCCGACUUCUUCCUGAACAGCUCAUUAAAGAGGCCUUUAUCCUUAGUGACCUUUUUGAUAUUGGAGAAUUGGCAGCUGUUGAGCUUCUCCUUGCUGGAGAGCACCAACAGCCACAUUUUCCUGGUCUCACCAGAGGAUUAGUAGCUGUUCUUUUAUACUGGGAUGGAAAACGGUGCAUUGCAAACUCCCUGAAAGCCUUGAUACAGUCCAGACGAGGAAAAACAUGGACCCUCGAACUCAGUCCAGAGCUGGUUUCCAUGACAACCCGCUUUACAGAGGAGCUGAUGGAGCAAGGAUUGACUUAUAAAGUCCUUACUCUGGUGUCACAGAUUGAUGUGAACAAUGAGUUUGAGAAACUACAGCGGGAGAGAGGUUUGGGCAGUGAAAAACACCGAAAAGAGGUUUCUGAUCUCAUCAAGGAGUGCAGGCAGUCUCUGGCAGAAAGCCUUUUUGCCUGGGCUUGUCAGUCACCUUUAGGCAAAGAUGACACUCUGCUUCUUAUUGGACAUUUGGAAAAAGUGACAGUUGAGGCUAAUGGCUCGUUGGAUGCCGUGAAUCUGGCUCUUCUUAUGGCUCUUCUGUACUGCUUUGAUAUCAGUUUUGUAGAACAAAGCACAGAGGAAAGAGAUGAUAUGAUUCAUCAACUUCCACUGUUGACAGAAAGACAGUACAUCGCAACAGUUCACUCCCGCCUUCAAGACUCACAGCUUUGGAAACUCCCUGGGCUGCAAGCCACUGUUAGACUUGCCUGGGCACUGGCAUUGAGAGGAAUAUCUCAGCUACCUGAUGUGACAGCUCUGGCUGAAUUUACAGAAGCAGAUGAAGCAAUGGCAGAGCUCGCAAUUGCUGACAAUGUUUUCCUGUUCCUCACUGAAUCUGUAGUGGUGUCAGAGAAUUUCUAUCAGGAGGAAUUUUAUAUCCGUAGAGUCCAUAAUCUCAUCACAGAUUUCCUUGCACUUAUGCCAAUGAAGGUGAAACAGUUGAGGAAUCGGGCAGAUGAAGAUGCUCGAAUAAUUCAUAUGAGUAUGCAGAUGGGUAAUGAACCUCCCAUUUCACUUAGAAGAGAUCUGGAACACUUAAUGCUCUUGAUUGGUGAGCUAUAUAAAAAGAACGCUUUUAAUUUGGAGCUUGCUCUCGAAUAUUGGUGUCCCUCAGAGCCUCUUCAGACUUCCACUAUCAUGGGUUCUUACCUUGGGGUGGCUCAUCAGCGACCCCCUCAACGCCAGGUUGUCUUGUCAAAGUUUGUUAGGCAAAUGGGUGACCUAUUGCCUCCAACGAUUUACAUUCCUUAUUUGAAAAUGCUCCAGGGAUUGGCCAGUGGGCCCCAGUGUGCUCACUACUGUUUCAGCCUGCUUAAAGUCAAUGGGAGUAGUCAUGUUGAAAAUAUUCAGGGAACAGGUGGCAGUCCUGUUUCCUGGGAACAUUUCUUUCACUCCUUAAUGCUUUACCAUGAGCACCUCCGGAAGGAUCUUCCGAGCGCAGAUAGUGUCCAGUACCGUCACCUUCCUUCACGUGGCAUCACCCAGAAGGAGCAGGAUGGAUUGAUUGCUUUUUUACAGCUCACCUCCACCAUCAUUACUUGGAGUGAAAAUGCUCGUCUGGCACUCUGUGAACAUCCUCAGUGGACCCCGGUUGUGGUGAUUCUGGGACUCCUGCAAUGCAGUAUCCCCCCUGUUCUCAAAGCAGAGUUGCUGAAGACCCUUGCAGCUUUUGGAAAAUCCCCUGAAAUUGCUGCUUCCCUUUGGCAGUCGUUGGAAUACACUCAGAUACUGCAGACCGUAAGGGUUCCAAGCCAGAGGCAAGCUAUUGGUAUCGAGGUUGAACUAAAUGAAAUAGAAUGCCGGUGUGAAGAAUACCCACUGACUCGGGCUUUUUGCCAGCUUAUUAGUACUUUGGUGGAGAGCUCAUUUCCUUCUAAUUUGGGUGCUGGCCUGCGGCCCCCUGGCUUUGACCCUUAUUUGCAGUUCCUUAGAGAUUCUGUGUUUCUCCGAUUCCGCACAAGAGCUUACCGGAGAGCAGCUGAAAAGUGGGAAGUUGCUGAGGUUGUUUUGGAGGUGUUUUAUAAAUUGCUCAGAGAUUAUGAGCCUCAACUUGAAGAUUUUGUAGACCAGUUUGUGGAAUUACAAGGAGAAGAAAUCAUAGCCUACAAGCCACCAGGAUUUAGUCUGAUGUAUCAUCUUCUGAAUGAGUCACCAAUGUUGGAGCUUGCCCUUAGUUUACUGGAAGAAGGCGUUAAGCAGCUGGAUACCUAUGCCCCUUUCCCUGGGAAGAAACACUUGGAGAAAGCAGUGCAGCAUUGCCUUGCACUUCUCAAUCUGACUCUGCAAAAGGAAAAUCUCUUUAUGGAUCUUCUAAGAGAGAGUCAGCUGGCUCUAAUAGUCUCUCCUUUAGAACAGCUGUUACAGGGAAUCAAUCCGAGAACUAAGAAGGCUGAUAAUGUGGUGAAUAUUGCCAGAUACCUCUAUCAUGGCAAUACUAAUCCGGAAUUGGCUUUUGAAAGUGCCAAGAUCCUCUGCUGUAUCUCUUGCAAUUCCAAUAUUCAGAUAAAAUUGGUUGGAGAUUUCACACAUGACCAGAGUGUAAGUCAGAAGCUGAUGGCUGGAUUUGUGGAGUGUUUGGAUAGUGAAGAUACAGAAGAAUUUGUACGUCUAGAAGAGGGAUCAGAACUUGAAAAGAAGCUAGCUGGAAUCCGUCAUGAAACAAGAAUCCACAUCUUGAAUCUUCUUAUCACCUCUCUGGAACGCAACCCACCCAACCUUGCUCUCUAUCUCCUGGGCUUUGAACUGAAGAAACCUGUCAGUACCACAAACCUGCAAGAUCCAGGAGUGUUAGGUUGCCCUCGGACGUGCCUUCAUGCCAUUUUAAACAUCUUGGAGAAGGGAACUGAAGGGAGAACAGGCCCGGUGGCAGUGAGAGAAUCUCCUCAACUCGCUGAACUAUGUUACCAGGUGAUAUAUCAGUUGUGUGCAUGCUCUGACACAUCCGGUCCUACUAUGAGGUACUUGAGAACCAGCCAGGAUUUCUUAUUUUCUCAGUUGCAACAUUUACCUUUUUCUAACAAAGAGUAUGAAAUGUCUAUGCUGAACCAGAUGUCAUGGCUAAUGAAGACUGCCUCAAUAGAACUAAGGGUAACUUCUUUGAAUCGUCAACGGUCCCAUACCCAGAGGCUCCUACACCUCUUACUGGAUGACAUGCCCGUGAAACCAUACUCAGAUGGUGAAGGAGGAAUGGAAGAUGAAAAUAGGUCUGUCUCUGGGUUCCUUCACUUUGACACUGCGACAAAAGUACGUCGAAAAAUUCUAAGUAUUCUUGACUCGAUUGACUUCAGUCAGGAGAUCCCUGAGCCUUUGCAGUUAGAUUUCUUUGAUCGGGCCCAGAUCGAACAAGUUAUUGCUAACUGUGAACACAGGAAUUUACGGGGACAGACAGUCUGCAAUGUCAAGCUUCUUCAUAGGGUUCUUGUAGCUGAAGUAAAUGCCCUUCAGGGUAUGGCAGCCAUAGGCCAGCGACCAUUACUAAUGGAGGAAAUCAGCACUAUACUUCAGUAUGUGGUAGGAAGAAACAAAUUGCUGCAGUGUCUUCAUGCAAAACGGCAUGUGUUAGAGUCAUGGAGACAGCUGGUAGAAAUUAUACUGACAGCUUGUCCCCAGGACCUCAUUCAGGCAGAGGAUCGACAACUGAUUAUUCGUGAUAUUUUACAAGAUGUGCAUGAUAAGAUCCUGGAUGAUGAAGCAGCGCAGGAGUUAAUGCCGGUGGUGGCAGGUGCCGUGUUCACCCUGACUGCUCACCUAAGCCAGGCCGUUCGCACGGAACAGAAGCAACCACUAGUCUUGGGACCUGGAGAGACCCAUUACGCUUUUAUGCUUGAGAGUUCUUUCACGCCCCCUCCUCCAGCAGACAGCCCUGUGGUGGGUUUUGCUUCUAUUGGAGAUUCUUCGCUUCACAUUAUAUUGAAGAAGCUCUUGGACUUCAUUUUGAAGACAGGUGGCGGAUUCCAGCGAGUGAGGACACACCUGUAUGGCUCUCUGUUGUAUUACUUACAAAUCGCCCAAAGACCAGACGAACCAGACACAUUAGAAGCAGCCAAGAAAACCAUGUGGGAAAGGCUGACAGCCCCUGAAGAUGUAUUUAGUAAAUUACAGCGAGAAAACAUAGCCAUCAUUGAGAGCUACGGUGCUGCCCUCAUGGAAGUGGUCUGUCGAGAUGCCUGUGACGGUCAUGAGAUUGGAAGGAUGCUGGCCCUGGCUCUACUUGAUCGGAUUGUCUCCGUAGAUAAGCAGCAGCAGUGGCUUUUGUAUCUUUCUAAUAGUGGCUAUUUGAAGGUGCUUGUGGACAGCUUGGUAGAAGAUGACCAUACUUUGCAGAGCUUACUAACUCCACAACCUCCCCUUUUAAAAGCCCUUUAUACUUACGAAUCCAAAAUGGCAUUUCUUACAAGAGUGGCUAAGAUACAGCAGGGUGCGUUAGAGCUGCUGAGGUCUGGGGUGAUAGUGAGACUGGCACAAUGCCAGGUCUAUGACAUGCGCCCAGAGAUGGACCCACAGGGCAUGUUCGGCAUGAGAGACCCACCAGUGUUCAUCCCUGCCCCGGUGGACCGCUACCGGCAGAUUCUGCUCCCAGCUCUCCGCUUGUGCCAGGUCAUCCUCACGUCCAGCACAGCCCAGCACUUACAGGCAGCGGGGCAGGUGUUGCAGUUUCUCAUUUCACAUUCUGAUACCAUACAAGCAAUCCUGCGCUGUCAGGAUGUGAGUGCUGGGUCUUUGCAGGAACUGGCUCUGCUGACAGGAAUUAUCAGUAAAGCAGCACUUCCUGGUAUAUUAAAUGAACUUGAUGUUGAUGUAAAUGAAGGAUCUCUAAUGGAGCUACAGGGACAUAUCGGAAGAUUCCAGCGUCAGUGUUUAGGACUACUAAGCCGCUUUGGGGGCUCUGACAGACUGCGUCAGUUUAAAUUUCAAGAUGAUAAUGUGGAGGGAGAUAGAGUGAGCAAAAAAGAUGAACUCGAACUGGCCAUGCAGCAGAUCUGUGCCAAUGUCAUGGAAUAUUGCCAGUCACUCAUGUUACAGAGCUCCCCCACAUUUCAGCAUGCUGUGUGUCUCUUUACCCCUAGCCUGUCAGAAACCAUUAAUAGAGAUGGACCCCGGCAAGAUACUCAAGCUCCAGUGAUUCCAUAUUGGCGCCUGCCUGGUUUGGGCAUCAUUGUCUACCUGUUGAAACAGAGUGCUAAUGAUUUCUUCAGCUAUUACGACAGCCAUCGACGGAGUGUCAACAAGCUACAGAAUGUAGAGCAACUUCCACCAGAUGAGAUCAAAGAGUUGUGCCAGUCUGUGAUGCCUGUUGGUGUUGAAAAAAUCUCCACUGCCCAGAAAUAUGUUCUAGCAAGACGGCGUUUGGUGAAGUUGAUCAACAAUCGAGCCAAACUCCUUUCCCUUUGUUCUUUUAUCAUAGAGACCUGCCUAUUUAUUCUUUGGCGCCAUCUGGAGUACUACUUGCUACACUGCACGCCCACGGAUUCUCAGGAUUCCUUAUUUGCCUCCAGAACCUUAUUUAAAAGCAGAAGACUACAAGAUUCCUUCACUCCAGAAACCAACCUGGAUUUUAGAAGUGGACUGACUGGAGUGAGCCAACAUGACAUAGACCAGUGGCACCCACUCCUAACAGCUUCUUGUAUUGCCCUUCGGGAAAUGUAUUUGUGUAUAUGCCCAUAUAUCAACAGCAGCAUCAUAGUUGUUGCUAUUUAAGAUGUUACACUUUUAUACGGACCGGAAAGGGAAAAACAAUUCUGUACCGAUAAAUUCUAGCAUGGAAAUGUGAAUGUUUAGUUACUUUGCUACAUGAGAAAGGACCACAUUACAAAAAUUCAAAGCUUCAGGCUGACGCCAUCAGCGCUUUUGGAGAAUCACUACAGAAGAAACUUCUGGACAUUGAAGGAUUAUACUCAAAAGUUCGAUCUCGCUAUAGUUUCAUACAAGCUCUUGUCAGACGUAUCCGAGGACUGCUGAGAAUAUCCAGGAACUGAGAGCCUGUGCUUACGCUCUUCUAGGGAAGAGAUGAAUUGGGGAGAACUGUCCCCUUUUUAUAGAUCAGUUUGUUUCUAAA